GUUAUAACCGGCGAUACCCGAAUGGGGAAACCCAGUGUGACUCGUCACACUAUCAUUAACUGAAUCCAUAGGUUAAUGAGGCGAACCGGGGGAACUGAAACAUCUAAGUACCCCGAGGAAAAGAAAUCAACCGAGAUUCCCCCAGUAGCGGCGAGCGAACGGGGAGGAGCCCAGAGCCUGAAUCAGCAUGUGUGUUAGUGGAAGCGUCUGGAAAGGCGCGCGAUACAGGGUGACAGCCCCGUACACAAAAGCGCAUGUGCUGUGAGCUCGAUGAGUAGGGCGGGACACGUGGUAUCCUGUCUGAAUAUGGGGGGACCAUCCUCCAAGGCUAAAUACUCCUGACUGACCGAUAGUGAACCAGUACCGUGAGGGAAAGGCGAAAAGAACCCCGGCGAGGGGAGUGAAAAAGAACCUGAAACCGUGUACGUACAAGCAGUGGGAGCACCCUUUGGGUGUGACUGCGUACCUUUUGUAUAAUGGGUCAGCGACUUAUAUUCUGUAGCAAGGUUAACCGAAUAGGGGAGCCGGAGGGAAACCGAGUCUUAAUUGGGCGUUAAGUUGCAGGGUAUAGACCCGAAACCCGGUGAUCUAGCCAUGGGCAGGUUGAAGGUUGGGUAACACUAACUGGAGGACCGAACCGACUAAUGUUGAAAAAUUAGCGGAUGACCUGUGGCUGGGGGUGAAAGGCCAAUCAAACCGGGAGAUAGCUGGUUCUCCCCGAAAGCUAUUUAGGUAGCGCCUCGUGAAUUCAUCUCCGGGGGUAGAGCACUGUUUCGGCUAGGGGGCCAUCCCGGCUUACCAACCCGAUGCAAACUGCGAAUACCGGAGAAUGUUAUCACGGGAGACACACGGCGGGUGCUAACGUCCGUCGUGAAGAGGGAAACAACCCAGACCGCCAGCUAAGGUCCCAAAGUCAUGGUUAAGUGGGAAACGAUGUGGGAAGGCCCAGACAGCCAGGAUGUUGGCUUAGAAGCAGCCAUCAUUUAAAGAAAGCGUAAUAGCUCACUGGUCGAGUCGGCCUGCGCGGAAGAUGUAACGGGGCUAAACCAUGCACCGAAGCUGCGGCAGCGACACUGUGUGUUGUUGGGUAGGGGAGCGUUCUGUAAGCCUGUGAAGGUGUGUCGUGAGGCAUGCUGGAGGUAUCAGAAGUGCGAAUGCUGACAUAAGUAACGAUAAAGCGGGUGAAAAGCCCGCUCGCCGGAAGACCAAGGGUUCCUGUCCAACGUUAAUCGGGGCAGGGUGAGUCGACCCCUAAGGCGAGGCCGAAAGGCGUAGUCGAUGGGAAACGGGUUAAUAUUCCCGUACUUGGUGUUACUGCGAAGGGGGGACGGAGAAGGCUAUGUUGGCCGGGCGACGGUUGUCCCGGUUUAAGCGUGUAGGUGUGUGUUCCAGGUAAAUCCGGUUCACUUUAACACUGAGGCGUGACGACGAGGCACUACGGUGCUGAAGCAACAAAUGCCCUGCUUCCAGGAAAAGCCUCUAAGCAUCAGGUAACAUCAAAUCGUACCCCAAACCGACACAGGUGGUCAGGUAGAGAAUACCAAGGCGCUUGAGAGAACUCGGGUGAAGGAACUAGGCAAAAUGGUGCCGUAACUUCGGGAGAAGGCACGCUGACACGUAGGUGAAGUGAUUUACUCAUGGAGCUGAAGUCAGUCGAAGAUACCAGCUGGCUGCAACUGUUUAUUAAAAACACAGCACUGUGCAAACACGAAAGUGGACGUAUACGGUGUGACGCCUGCCCGGUGCCGGAAGGUUAAUUGAUGGGGUCAGCGCAAGCGAAGCUCCUGAUCGAAGCCCCGGUAAACGGCGGCCGUAACUAUAACGGUCCUAAGGUAGCGAAAUUCCUUGUCGGGUAAGUUCCGACCUGCACGAAUGGCGUAAUGAUGGCCAGGCUGUCUCCACCCGAGACUCAGUGAAAUUGAACUCGCUGUGAAGAUGCAGUGUACCCGCGGCAAGACGGAAAGACCCCGUGAACCUUUACUAUAGCUUGACACUGAACAUUGAGCCUUGAUGUGUAGGAUAGGUGGGAGGCUUUGAAGUGUGGACGCCAGUCUGCAUGGAGCCGACCUUGAAAUACCACCCUUUAAUGUUUGAUGUUCUAACGUGGACCCGUUACCCGGGUUGCGGACAGUGUCUGGUGGGUAGUUUGACUGGGGCGGUCUCCUCCUAAAGAGUAACGGAGGAGCACGAAGGUUGGCUAAUCCUGGUCGGACAUCAGGAGGUUAGUGCAAUGGCAUAAGCCAGCUUGACUGCGAGCGUGACGGCGCGAGCAGGUGCGAAAGCAGGUCAUAGUGAUCCGGUGGUUCUGAAUGGAAGGGCCAUCGCUCAACGGAUAAAAGGUACUCCGGGGAUAACAGGCUGAUACCGCCCAAGAGUUCAUAUCGACGGCGGUGUUUGGCACCUCGAUGUCGGCUCAUCACAUCCUGGGGCUGAAGUAGGUCCCAAGGGUAUGGCUGUUCGCCAUUUAAAGUGGUACGCGAGCUGGGUUUAGAACGUCGUGAGACAGUUCGGUCCCUAUCUGCCGUGGGCGCUGGAGAACUGAGGGGGGCUGCUCCUAGUACGAGAGGACCGGAGUGGACGCAUCACUGGUGUUCGGGUUGUCAUGCCAAUGGCACUGCCCGGUAGCUAAAUGCGGAAGAGAUAAGUGCUGAAAGCAUCUAAGCACGAAACUUGCCCCGA
rnacentral:rRNA from 1 species